CUUGUUGUGGGAGUGAACCUGCAGGCACCUCAGCUUCUCCUUCCUCCUUCAUCACGGUUUAGGUGGUUUCGUGCCAUCGAAGGAGGCUACAAUAAAGAUGGCCCAUCUACCUUGCAUUGCCUGUGAGGCUUCUGUGGGACAAGACCUUCAAGUUUCUUAAAGGACCUGCCAGAUGAGCAACAGUUCCUGGUGGUACAUAAGACACACCAGCACACCGACAUCCACUCAGAGCUGCACACACGGUGCAUCCCUGGCCCAGGUAUGUGGUCCUCACUCCUGGUUUCUGGAACACCCCCUCUGGGCUAUGGGCACCAAUGAUUUUGGCCCUUCUCAAUCCCCUAGAUCAAGUCUAAAUCGUCUU